UAGCCGUAAACGAUACUCGCUAGGUAGUCGGCCACGGUGCGACCGUUGUCGGUGCCGUAGGGAAGCCGUGAAGCGAGCCACCUGGGAAGUACGGCCGCAAGGCUGAAACUUAAAGGAAUUGGCGGGGGGAGCACCACAACGGGUGGAGCCUGCGGUUUAACUGGACUCAGCGCCGGGAAGCUCACCGGAUAAGACAGCGGAAUGAUUGCCGGGCUGAAGACCCUGCAUGACCAGCUGAGAGGUGGUGCAUGGCGUAGACGUCU
rnacentral:rRNA from 1 species